CGCGUAGGCGGUUUGGUCAGUCAGAGGUGAAAGCUUCGAGCUUAACUCGGAAAUUGCCUUUGAAACUGCCAGACUUGAGUGCUUCAAGGGAUAGUGGAAUUCCUGGUGUAGCGGUGAAAUGCGUAGAUAUCAGGGAGAACACCGGUGGCGAAGGCGGCUAUCUGGGGAGCAACUGACGCUGAGGCGCGAAAGCUAGGGGAGCGAACAGGAUUAGAUACCCUGGUAGUCC
rnacentral:rRNA from 1 species